ACUGAACUAAAUGGGCUUCGCUGAACUGGGCUGAAAAAUUGCUGGACUGAUGGGCUCGUGAGAUUUGCUGGCCCAAAGAAGCUGUUCACUUGGGCUUUGGGCUGAACAGAAUAAUGGACUGGCUGCCUUCAUGGAUGGGCUGCUCACAGCUUGGGCUUCUCGAGGACUUGGAUGGCAGCAGCAGCAAUGUGAGCUGGCGCAGCCCAAUUGAAACAGAAACAGCGAAGGAAUCGCUGGCUUUGAGCGAUGGAGAGAAGAUGGGGACUCCUUUUGUUGACCGAAGACUUGGACAGGAGUUGGCGAUGGGGAUUCGGUGGAUUGAAGCCGCGUGGGCUUCAGUCUUCGAAAUUCGCGGGUGCUGCCCAGUCAACCGAAGGCUCCGCUUGGUGCUGAAAUUGAUCGCGAGCUGGCUUCAAUAGGUUUGAUCGAUCGAACGAGCGACAGAGAGGAGACUACGUGGACGUCGCUGCAAGGUCUUCGAUCAGCAAGGCUUCACGGAGUGUGGCUGAACUGCUUCAAGCUUCGUUGGUCUUCGAGCUGUGGAAUUCGAUAGUCCUCAGCUGCGUCGUUGAUUGGAGAGGGUGGACGUGGCAAGAGCUGAAGUUGGACCGAAUGGAGUUGACUUCGGUGGAGUCUUCGAUUCGGCUGGAGAGGACACGAAGCAGCUGCUGGCGACAGGAAGAAGUGG
rnacentral:lncRNA from 1 species